CGAGGCUGAUAGUUAAACAUUUAGUCAAAAACUGAGGAAAAAAGUCUCUUUCAUCUAAAUUAACUGACUAUCUUGAGUGCUUUGGGUGGCUUAUCACAUUCUUGAAGUAAGGGUGAAAUUGUUGAUAACUGGAAGAUGUUCAAAAGCGAAAGCAAUCGCAAAAAAGCUCUGACGCUGAGGCACUACGGCGUGGGUAUCAAAGAGGAUUAGAGACCUCGUAGUCCACGCAUUAAACAUGGGUGUUCAAUAUCUUGAAGAUCAUUUUGAUUUUUGGGGAAUUUAAAGCUAACGCGUCAAACACCCCGCUGGGGAAUGUGGCCGCAAGGUCUAAACUCAACGGAAUUGACGGUGACUCAUACAAGG
rnacentral:rRNA from 1 species